AUUGAACGCUGGCGGCAGGCCUAACACAUGCAAGUCGAACGGUAACAGGAAGAAGCUUGCUUCUUUGCUGACGAGUGGCGGACGGGUGAGUAAUGUCUGGGAAACUGCCUGAUGGAGGGGGAUAACUACUGGAAACGGUAGCUAAUACCGCAUAACGUCGCAAGACCAAAAAGGGGGACCUUCGUGCCUCUUGCCAUCGGAGGUGCCCAGAUGGGAUUAGCUAGUAGGUGGGGUAACGGCUCACCUAGGCGACGAUCCCUAGCUGGUCUGAGAGGAUGACCAGCCACACUGGAACUGAGACACGGUCCAGACUCCUACGGGAGGCAGCAGUGGGGAAUAUUGCACAAUGGGCGCAAGCCUGAUGCAGCCAUGCCGCGUGUAUGAAGAAGGCCUUCGGGUUGUAAAGUACUUUCAGCGGGGAGGAAGGGAGUAAAGUUAAUACCUUGGCUCAUUGACGUUACCCGCAGAAGAAGCACCGGCUAACUCCGUG
rnacentral:rRNA from 1 species